GAUGAACGCUGGCGGCGUGCCUAAUACAUGCAAGUCGAGCGAACAGACGAGGAGCUUGCUCCUCUGACGUUAGCGGCGGACGGGUGAGUAACACGUGGAUAACCUACCUAUAAGACUGGGAUAACUUCGGGAAACCGGAGCUAAUACCGGAUAAUAUAUUGAACCGCAUGGUUCAAUAGUGAAAGACGGUUUUGCUGUCACUUAUAGAUGGAUCCGCGCCGCAUUAGCUAGUUGGUAAGGUAACGGCUUACCAAGGCAACGAUGCGUAGCCGACCCGAGAGGGUGAUCGGCCACACUGGAACUAAGACACGGUCCAGACUCCUACGGGAGGCAGCAGUAGGGAAUCUUCCGCAAUGGGCGAAAGCCUGACGGAGCAACGCCGCGUGAGUGAUGAAGGUCUUCGGAUCGUAAAACUCUGUUAUUAGGGAAGAACAAAUGUGUAAGUAACUAUGCACGUCUUGACGGUACCUAAUCAGAAAGCCACGGCUAACUACGUG
rnacentral:rRNA from 1 species